CCAAUAGCGUAUAUUAAAGUUGUUGCAGUUAAAAAGCUCGUAGUUGAAUUUCGGGGUCAGUAGGUUGGUCAUGCCACUGGUAUGUACUGGUCUCACUGAUUCCUCCUUCCUGAUGAGCCGUAAUGCCAUUAAUUUGGUGUUGCGAGGAAUCUGGACUGUUACUUUGAAAAAAUUAGAGUGUUUAAAGCAGGCUAACGCUUGAAUACAUUAGCAUGGAAUAAUGAAAUAGGACGUUCGAUCUUAUUUUGUUGGUUUCUAAGAUUGACGUAAUGAUUAAUAGGGAUAGUUGGGGGCAUUAGUAUUCAAUUGUCAGAGGUGAAAUUCUUGGAUUUAUUGAAGACUAACUACUGCGAAAGCAUUUGCCAAGGAUGUUUUCAUUAAUCAAGAACGAAAGUUAGGGGAUCGAAGACGAUCAGAUACCGUCGUAGUCUUAACCAUAAACUAUGCCGACUAGGGAUCGGAUGAUGUUAAUUUUUUAAAGACUCAUUCGGCGCCUUACGGGAAACCAAAGUGUUUGGUC
rnacentral:misc_RNA from 1 species